GUUCAUACAGAAAAAGUGUUCUACUUUCUCAGCUCUAUUACUGUUGCAGUGGCAGAGUUGUUGUUCAUAAGGUAUUUUCAAAUAUCCAUCCUUUAACACUACAGCACCGAGUUUAGGAAGUAUGAGAAACCCACACUGUUUUGAUAACAUUCAAUAUUGCCAGAUUUUAACCAAUCUUCCCCUCUAUUUUAGCUGGGAAUAAUGGUGAAAGCCGGGUGGGGGCGGGCAACUUCUGUAAAAUGGAAUCUUACAUUUGCUAUUUAGUAACUUUUUAUUAAUUUUUCCUCCCAUUAUUUUAUUUGCUCCCUUUGAACCAAAACAGGUCAACAAAUUCCAAAGAAAAAAAAAGAGCCUCUGCCUGCAAUUACUGCAAGUUCAAAUCUCACCAGGCUCAAGGUUGACUCAGCCUUCCAUCCUUUCGAGGCUUAAAAGUUACUUCAAAGAUAAGGGAAGGAUGUGGACAAAUACAUGAUCCAUAUGGACAUGCCACAAAGAACUGGGAUUCGCUGCAGUGUCCAACGUGAGGAUGCAUUUCAAGCCAAAUCAGGGCUUAACGGAACAUAAGACCCUUUAAUAGCAACCAGGCGGUGGGUGGGUUUUGAAGGAGCCCGCGGCGGGAAGCGGUCAAGAGGGUGGGAUGAAGAUGCUCGGCCACGAGAAGCCCCGCCGGCAUGCCAGAGCUCUAGACCACCGCGUCGAGGGGCAAACGCGACCACGCUGGCGCUGCGCAGCUGAUAGAAAACGGAAUCGGAACAUAAACGGCCCCCGCGCACCUGACACACUGGCUCGAGUGACACGUUGGAUGAUGGCCUUCAUCACGCCGGGCUCAGAGGGAUCCGGAGCGGCCUAGCACAACUUCCGGCCUCGUCCGGAAGCAAAGUAACACUGCUUCCUGCCCUUCCUUCCACACUGAGCUAUGGAUAUAUAGUUUCUAGAAGUGGGUUUAUCUCACGGUUCUGAGUUCCCUGAAAACUUACCGCGGCCCCCACUAUAUCCCCUGAAUGUAAUAAAAGCUUCUCAUAAAAACUAA